rnacentral:rRNA from 1 species
GACAGAGGGUGCAACCGUUGUUCGGAAUUACUGGGCGUAAAGCGUGCGCAGGCGGUUCGUUGUGUCGGUGGUGAAAGCCCCGGGCUUAACCUGGGAAUGGCCAUGGAAACUGGCGAACUGGAAUGUGGCAGAGGGGGGUGGAAUUCCGCGUGUAGCAGUGAAAUGCGCAGAUAUCAGGAGGAACACCGGUGGCGAAGGCGGUUCUCUGGGCAUGUCCUGACGCUGAGGAGCGAAAGUGUGGGGAGCGAACAGG